GAUGAAGAACGUAGUGAAAUGCGAUAAGUAGUGUGAAUUGCAGAAUUCAGUGAAUCAUCGAAUCUUUGAACGCACAUUGCGCCCCUUGGUAUUCCAGGGGGCAUGCCUGUUCGAGCGUCAUUUGUACCCUCAAGCUAUGCUUGGUGUUGGGCGUCUGUCUGGCCUUGUGCCUAGACUCGCCUCAAAGUGAUUGGCAGCCCGUGGGAGGUGGAAUAAUGCAGCACAUUUUGCAUUUGACCGUACCUCGCUAUGGCGUCCAUAAGCAUUUCUCACUUUUGACCUCGGAUCAGGUAGGGAUACCCGCUGAACUUAAGCAUAUCCAAUAAGCGGAGGA
rnacentral:misc_RNA from 1 species